CAGAGAUCAUGCCCUCACGGGUAGACCUCCCACCCUGUUUAUAUACUAUUGUUGCUUUGGCAGGCCGCCUUCGGGCUCCCGGCUCCGGCUGGGGCGUGCCUGCCAGAGGACCCAAACUCUUGUUUACAAAUGUCGUCCGAGUACUAUAUAAUAAGUUA
rnacentral:misc_RNA from 1 species